CAGUCGCCACGGUAAAACGUAGGUGGCAAGCGUUGUCCGGAAUUAUUGGGCGUAAAGGGCUCGCAGGCGGUUUCUUAAGUCUGAUGUGAAAGCCCCCGGCUCAACCGGGGAGGGUCAUUGGAAACUGGGAAACUUGAGUGCAGAAGAGGAGAGUGGAAUUCCACGUGUAGCGGUGAAAUGCGUAGAGAUGUGGAGGAACACCAGUGGCGAAGGCGACUCUCUGGUCUGUAACUGACGCUGAGGCACGAAAGCGUGGGGAGCAAACAGGAUUAGAUACCCCUGUAGUCCCUGUCUCUUAUAA
rnacentral:rRNA from 1 species